UAUCUCCUAAAAUACUUGGAGUUUUUGAUCCUACUUUUUUUUAAAUAAAACUAGACUCAAGGAAGUUUCUUUUGGUAUAAGUUACGACCCGAUGAGAGUUCUGUACAGAGUCUGGUAAGGUUUUAAAGUUGAGUCAGUGCAGAGUGAAGUUUGUUUUUGACUUGUCUAUGUGUGUUUUUAAUAUGCUUAAGUGUUUAUACUUGUUUAUGUGCUUGAUUGCUAUGAGUUUGAGCCGAGUUGGGAGUUAAGUCGAAAAUAGGACGAAUGAAUCCUUAGAAGUCGAGUAUACCUAGGAAUUGAGUUUUAACGGGUAAAUAGACGUUGAGUGAGAAGUUAUAGUUAAGAUGAGAUCGGAUUUAGAAAUUGAGUUUCUGACUAAGGUUUGUUUUAUCACAUGAACCUUCGAUGACGAUGACGAUGUGAUGAUGACAUAUGAAGGCCCGAGCGAGACGAAGAAGCUAAGCAGGGAGCGAGAUUGGUUUGGUGCUAGUGGGGGAGAGUUUCUAUCGAUGUAAUUUAAAUUUCUAUUUUGCCUUUAUGAUAAUAGAGUCUUGAUGUUGAAAUACUUAGUUUUCUUUUGGGGAUCAAGCAAUACACUCACGGUUAUGUGUCUUCAUACAUAUAAUCGGUUCGCCUUUUGCUGCGAUACUCUGCAUAUUAUGCUUCCUUAUGAAAAAUGAGCUAUACCCGUUUUGUUUUUAUUCGUGAAAUUCCUAAUAAUUAAAAAGUUAUGACAAUGUUGACGAUUUUAC